AUCAACGCUGGCGGCGCGCUUAACACAUGCAAGUCGAGCGAGAAAGGGAGCAAUCCUGAGUAAAGCGGCGUACGGGUGAGUAACACGUGGAUGAUAUGCCUUUUAGUGGGGAAUACCCUUGGGAAACCGAGGACAAUACCGCAUAAGCCCGAGAGGGGAAAGCAGCAAUGCGCUGAAAGAGUAGUCCGCGGCUGAUUAGCUAGUUGGUAGGGUAAAGGCCUACCAAGGCUGUGAUCGGUAGCCGGCCUGAGAGGGCACACGGCCACACUGGCACUGAAACACGGGCCAGACUCCUACGGGAGGCAGCAGUGGGGAAUCUUGCACAAUGGACGAAAGUCUGAUGCAGCGACGCCGCGUGAGCGAUGAAGCCCUUCGGGGUGUAAAGCUCUUUCGACAGGAACGAUAAUGACGGUACCUGGAGAAGAAGCUGCGGCUAACUACGUGCCAGCAGCCGCGGUAAUACGUAGGCAGCAAGCGUUGUUCGGAAUUACUGGGCGUAAAGAGUGUGUAGGCGGUGGCUCCCAGUCUGGUGUGAAAUCUCCCGGCUUAACUGGGAGGGUGGCAGCGAAAACUAGAGUGCUAGAGGGUGGGAGAGGUAGGCGGAAUUCCUGGUUGUAGCGGUGAAUAUGCGUAGAUAUCAGGAGGAACACCGGUGGUGUAGACGGCUUACUGCGCACCAUAAUCUGACGCUGAGGCACGAAAGUGUGGGGAGCAAACAGGAUUAGAUACCCUGGUAGUCCACACCCUAAACGAUGCAUACUUGGUGUGAGCCAUUCAUUUCGUUCGUGCCGGAGCUAACGCGUUAAGUAUAUGCCGCCUGGGGAGUACGGUCGCAAGGCUGAAACUCAAGGAAUUGACGGGGGCCCGCACAAGCGGUGGAGCAUGUGGUUUAAUUCGACGCAACGCCGAAGAACCUUACCUGGGCUCGAACGGCUUAAGAAUCGAUCUUUGGAACAGAGACUUUCCUCGCAAGAGACUCUGAGUCGAGGUGCUGCAUGGCUGUCGUCAGCUCGUGUCGUGAGAUGUUGGGUUAAGUCCCGCAACGAGCGCAACCCUUGUCCCUGUUUUGCCAUCCUUAGUGGAAGCACUCUCAGGGAGACCGCCAGCGGAUAAGUUGGAGGAAGGUGGGGAUGAUGUCAAGUCAUCAUGGCCUUUAUGUCCAGGGCUACACACGUGGCUACAAUGGACGGUACAAAGCGCUGCAAACCCGCGAGGGGGAGCCAAUCGCAAAAAACCGUUCUCAGUUCGGAUCGCAGGCUGCAACUCGCCUGCGUGAAGCUGGAAUCGCUAGUAAUGGCGUAUCAGAACGAUGCCGUGAAUACGUUCCCGGGCCUUGUACACACCGCCCGUCACAUCACGAAAGUGGAUUGUACUAGAAGUCCUAAUCAAACAGGCCCAAGGUGUGAUUCAUGAUUGGGGUGAAGUCGUAACAAGGUAA
rnacentral:rRNA from 1 species